UGUCACAGUUGCUACUCUAAGCAGGAGAUGAAAGCAUACAAAAGCCUUCAGGCACAUAAAUAUUUUACAGCUGGAUUUGUUUUGAAUGGAGUAAAAAUUGUUAAUGAUUUCCUGAUUUCCAUAUUAUUGUCGGAAAGGUGAAGCAUUUCCAAAAAUCUAAUGCUAAACGACUAAAUGCUUGGGUGGGGUGAUAGCCAGUUCUGAUGACAUAGCAAAUUUACAUUGUAUGCGUAUGGCCGGUAAUAGUGAAGUCUGCAGCCGUAUUGCAGCAAUCCUAUUUUUAGCUUAGUAUGCUCAGGGCAAGACAGACGAAGAAGAACCCAAUGUAUGUACAUAUGUUACAGCUACAUGGUUUGGAGAUAGCAACAUAUGCAUUCUCUGAUGAAAAACUAAUGAGUUUUGAAACUGUUCAGUCAGAGUGCUUGUUGUGCUCACUAAACGAAUUGAAAUAUAAGAUGGCUUUGGCAUUGUGUUGCAGCGAUAUGAAAAUGGUUAUUCAUUUUUAAUUAUAAUGUUCUUCUUCAUCAUGAGUAAUUAUGUAUUGGUCUUUUAAAUGUGUAUUUAUUUUUGUAAUUAGUAUCAACUUGUAAUGAUAAUAUACAUUUAUCGUUUAAGGUAUGACUAUGUUUUGACUCUAAAAUAAAUGUUUUAAAAAUCGAA